rnacentral:rRNA from 1 species
ACGCACGCUGGCGGCGUGCUUCACCCAUGCAAGUCGAACGGAAAGGCCCUGCUUUUGUGGGGUGCUCGAGUGGCGAACGGGUGAGUAACACGUGAGUCACCUGCCCUUGACUUUGGGAUAACUUCAGGAAACUGGGGCUAAUACCGGAUAGGAGCUCCUGCUGCAUGGUGGGGGUUGGAAAGUUUCGGCGGUUGGGGAUGGACUCGCGGCUUAUCAGCUUGUUGGUGGGGUAGUGGCUUACCAAGGCUUUGACGGGUAGCCGGCCUGAGAGGGUGACCGGCCACAUUGGGACUGAGAUACGGCCCAGACUCCUACGGGAGGCAGCAGUGGGGAAUAUUGCACAAUGGGCGGAAGCCUGAUGCAGCAACGCCGCGUGCGGGAUGACGGCCUUCGGGUUGUAAACCGCUUUCGCCUGUGACGAAGCGUGAGUGACGGUAAUGGGUAAAGAAGCACCGGCUAACUACGUG